AGUGAACGCUGGCGGUAGGCCUAACACAUGCAAGUCGAACGGCAGCACAGUAAGAGCUUGCUCUUACGGGUGGCGAGUGGCGGACGGGUGAGGAGUACAUCCGAAUCUACUUUUUCGUGGGGGAUAACGUAGGGAAACUUACGCUAAUACCGCAUACGACCUACGGGUGAAAGCAGGGGAUCUUCGGACCUUGCGCGAUUGAAUGAGCCGAUGUCGGAUUAGCUAGUUGGCGGGGUAAAGGCCCACCAAGGCGACGAUCCGUAGCCGGUCUGAGAGGAUGAUCAGCCGCACUGGAACUGAGACACGGUCCAGACUCCUACGGGAGGCAGCAGUGGGGAAUAUUGGACAAUGGGCGCAAGCCUGAUCCAGCCAUACCGCGUGGGUGAGGAAGGCCUUCGGGUUGUAAAGCCCUUUUGUUGGGAAAGAAAAGCAGCAGGUUAAUACCCCGCUGUUCUGACGGUACCCAAAGAAUAAGCACCGGCUAACUUCGUG
rnacentral:rRNA from 1 species